rnacentral:rRNA from 1 species
AAUUCCUUGUCGGGUAAGUUCCGACCUGCACGAAUGGCGUAAUGAUGGCCAGGCUGUCUCCACCCGAGACUCAGUGAAAUUGAACUCGCUGUGAAGAUGCAGUGUACCCGCGGCAAGACGGAAAGACCCCGUGAACCUUUACUAUAGCUUGACACUGAACAUUGAGCCUUGAUGUGUAGGAUAGGUGGGAGGCUUUGAAGCGUGGACGCCAGUCUGCGUGGAGCCAACCUUGAAAUACCACCCUUUAAUGUUUGAUGUUCUAACGUUGGCCCCUUACCGGGGUUGCGGACAGUGUCUGGUGGGUAGUUUGACUGGGGCGGUCUCCUCCCAAAGCGUAACGGAGGAGCACGAAGGUUAGCUAAUCCUGGUCGGACAUCAGGAGGUUAGUGCAAUGGCAUAAGCUAGCUUGACUGCGAGCGUGACGGCGCGAGCAGGUGCGAAAGCAGGUCAUAGUGAUCCGGUGGUU